GACGAACGCUGGCGGCGUGCCUAAUACAUGCAAGUAGAACGCAGUUGCGAACGGGUGAGUAACGCGUAGGUAACUGCCUGGUAGCGGGGGAUAACUAUUGGAAACGAUAGCUAAUACCGCAUACUACCAGAUGGACCUGCGUUGUAUUAGCUAGUUGGUGAGGUAACGGCUCACCAAGGCAACGAUUAAUAGCCGACCUGGGAGGGGGAUCGGCCAACAUGGGACGGAGACACGGCCCCGACUCCUACGGGAGGCAACAGUAGGGGAUCGUCGGCAAUGGGGGGAAACCUGACCGAGCAAAGCCGCGUGAGUGAAGAAGGUUUUCGGGACGUAAAGCUCUGUUUUUAAGGAAGCGGUACUUAACCAGAAAGGGACGGCUAACUACGUGCCAGCCGCCGCGGUAAUUC
rnacentral:rRNA from 1 species